AAGAGCCAACAACAACAUUAAACACAAAACCCAUCUCCGUCCGUCGUUUAUAAAAUAUCAGUCUCAAGUCUCAACAGUCAACAAUAUCAAUCUCUGUUUCAGAAGAAAUCAACACACACACACUCUCUCUCUCUCUCUGAUGGACCCACUCUUUCUCUCGCUGAUGAUGGGUUUUUGAAGAAUGCAGAAUUAGGGUUUAUGAUUGGAUGACCCAAACAACAAAACAACGACGACGUCAAUGAUCCUCGGAGAUGUUUCCAAGAAUCAAAUACUGAUUCUAUAGUAAUUGUUGGUGUUUAAUUGACUCAUCACUACAACACAAGAGGAGGAUACUUUUCACCGUCAACGAGAAUGCUUAAGUAAGAUCUGAUGAUGAGGAUGGUGAACCAAGGGUGUCUUCU